UACGUAGGGUGCAAGCGUUGUCCGGAAUUAUUGGGCGUAAAGAGCUCGUAGGCGGUUUGUUGCGUCGGCUGUGAAAUCCCGAGGCUCAACCUCGGGUCUGCAGUCGAUACGAGCAAACUAGAGUGUUGCAGGGGAGACUGGAAUUCCCGGUGUAGCGGUGAAAUGCGCAGAUAUCAGGAGGAACACCGGUGGCGAAGGCGGGUCUCUGGGCCGAUACUGACGCUGAGGAGCGAAAGCGUGGGGAGCAAACAGG
rnacentral:rRNA from 1 species